CCUACGGGAGGCAGCAGUGAGGAAUAUUGGUCAAUGGGCGGGAGCCUGAACCAGCCAAGUCGCGUGAGGGAUGAAGGUACUGCGUAUCGUAAACCUCUUUUGUCAGGGAACAAAGGGGGGGACUAGUCCCCGGUUGAGGGUACCUGAAGAAAAAGCAUCGGCUAACUCCGUGCCAGCAGCCGCGUUAAUACGGAGGAUGCGAGCGUUAUCCGGAUUUAUUGGGUUUAAAGGGUGCGCAGGCGGCUUGUUAAGUCAGCUGUAAAAGCUCGGGGCUCAACCCCGGCGAGCCGUUGACACUGGCGGGCUGGAGUGGGAUAGAAGUACGCGGAAUGCGCGGUGUAGCGGUGAAAGGCUUAGAUAUCGCGCAGAACCCCGAUUGCGAAGGCAGCGUACC
rnacentral:rRNA from 1 species